rnacentral:rRNA from 1 species
UUCCGGUUGAUCCUGCCGGAAGCCACCGCUAUUGGAAUCCGAUUAAGACAUGUGAGUCGAGAGUCUUCGGGACUCGGCAGACGGCUCAGUAACACGCGGAUAAUCUGCCCUUGGGUGGGGAAUAAUCUCGGGAAACUGAGCAUAAUACCCCAUAGGCCUGAGAUGCUGGAACGCCCUCAGGCUAAAAGCUCCGGCGCCCAAGGAUGAGUCUGCGGCCUAUCAGCUUGUAGUUGGUGUAAAUGACCAACUAGGCGACGACGGGUACGGGCAUUGGGAGAUGUAGCCCGGAGAUGGACUCUGAGACACGAGUCCAGGCCCUACGGGGCGCAGCAGUCGCGAAAACUUCACAAUGUGGGAAACCGCGAUGAGGGGAUUCCAAGUGCUUGCGUUUUGCGUAAGCUGUUCUCCUGCCUAAAAAGCAGGGGGAGUAAGGGCUGGGUAAGACGGGUGCCAGCCGCCGCGGUAAUACCCGCAGCCCAAGUGGUGGUCGAUAUUAUUGAGCUUAAAGCGUCCGUAGCCUGUCUGGUAAAUUCUUGGGUAAAUCGUGCAGCUUAACUGUCCGAAUUCCGGGGAGACUGCCAGACUUGGGACCGGGAGAGGUUGGAGGUACUCCUGGGGUAGGGGUAAAAUCCCGUAAUCCUGGGAGGACCAUCAGUGGCGAAGGCGUCCAACUGGAACGGAUCCGACGGUCAGGGACGAAGCCCUGGGUCGCGAACUGGAUUAGAUACCCAGGUAGUCCAGGGUGUAAACGCUGCAGACUUGGUGUCGGAGGUCCUACGAGGGCGUUCGGUGCCGGAGAGAAAUUGUUAAGUCUGCCGCUUGGGGAGUACGUCCGCAAGGAUGAAACUUAAAGGAAUUGGCGGGAGAGCACCGCAACGGGAGGAGCGUGCGGUUCAAUUGGAUUCAACGCCGGG